rnacentral:rRNA from 1 species
CCUACGGGAGGCAGCAGUGGGGAAUAUUGCACAAUGGGCGAAAGCCUGAUGCAGCGACGCCGCGUGAGGGAUGACGGCCUUCGGGUUGUAAACCUCUUUCAGUAGGGAAGAAGCGAAAGUGACGGUACCUGCAGAAGAAGCACCGGCUAACUACGUGCCAGCAGCCGCGGUAAUACGUAGGGUGCGAGCGUUAUCCGGAAUUAUUGGGCGUAAAGAGCUCGUAGGCGGUUUGUCGCGUCUGUCGUGAAAGUCCGGGGCUUAACCCCGGAUCUGCGGUGGGUACGGGCAGACUAGAGUGCAGUAGGGGAGACUGGAAUUCCUGGUGUAGCGGUGGAAUGCGCAGAUAUCAGGAGGAACACCGAUGGCGAAGGCAGGUCUCUGGGCUGUAACUGACGCUGAGGAGCGAAAGCAUGGGGAGCGAACAGGAUUAGAUACCCUGGUAGUCCAUGCCGUAAACGUUGGGCACUAGGUGUGGGGACCAUUCCACGGUUUCCGCGCCGCAGCUAACGCAUUAAGUGCCCCGCCUGGGGAGUACGGCCGCAAGGCUAAAACUCAAAGGAAUUGACGG